UUUUAGGGAGACCUACCCAACUUGUAAGUUGUACUUCGGUACUGAUAAAGCUGCAAGAGGUCAUUACCUAGGUCGUUCGAUGAUUGGCUUUGGCUUCAAACUAUUAUUCGAUUCGGAUUAAUUAAAAAUUGUAAUGAGUAUAUAUAGUCAGCAACUAAAGUUAAAACUUAACUUAGCCUGCUGGAUGUAUAUCCAGUAAGAACCUUGAAAACUGCAUAGUGACGCAAAUUGUAGGCAGUAACCGUUAUCCUAAUUACGCGAGCGUAAUGAUGAAAACGGGUAUUGAAUUACAGACAAAUCCUUUGAAUUGAUUAAAUU
rnacentral:misc_RNA from 1 species